GUGCUUGGUUCAAUAGCACAUAUACUAAAAUUGGAAUGAUACAGAGAAGAUUAGCAUGGCCCCUGUGCAAGGAUAACACACAAGUUUAUGAAGUGUUUCAUGUUUUU